GGGCGCGCGCGUUCCCGGCCCUCAGUGUCUGUGGGGUGCCCUCGCGAGGCCGGACCUGCCACCUCCACAUCUCUACCUGAGCAUCUUUCCCUGCAGUUACUUGAGUGGGCUCCAUCUUCUCCCCGCCUUUCUCUGUAAGUCCUUGGGGGAUUUUCCAAAACGUUAAUGGAAAGACAGUCUGAUGACAAGAUUCCUCAUGAAGAGAAGGAAGACUGUCCGUAAAAUAUGCCAUGAGCAAAGACAAGGAAACAAGACUGCAGAUGCAUUCUGUGGUUCCAGGAAUUCAGAAGCAUAGUCUCAGCCUUCCUGUGUCUGACUGAGAGGCAUAUAGGGAAAUCAUCACAAUACAAGGUGUCAAUCAAGAAAAUUCAAAGGCAAUUCCAGGAGCUUUCAUCAGAAGGUUAUCUAACUAUGUAUGUGGAUAAAACUUAUAUGCUGAAUUCAGAUAAUAGCACUUCUGAACAAGUAAAUUUAAAGAAAAACAUGCUGAACAUCUACCAUAAGAAAGGACCUGGAGAGUUAAAAUUAAAAGAAGAAAGAGAGAAGAGGGAGAAAGAGAGAGAAGAGAGAGGAGAGAUAAGAAAACUGGUUGCUUUAGGUUAUGUGCUCAACUGUUGCCUAGGGAAA